rnacentral:rRNA from 1 species
GACGAACGCUGGCGGCGUGCUUAACACAUGCAAGUCGAACGGAAAGGCCCUGCUUUUGUGGGGUGCUCGAGUGGCGAACGGGUGAGUAACACGUGAGUAACCUGCCCUUGACUUUGGGAUAACUUCAGGAAACUGGGGCUAAUACCGGAUAGGAGCUCCUGCUGCAUGGUGGGGGUUGGAAGUUUCGGCGGUUGGGGAUGGACUCGCGGCUUAUCAGCUUGUUGGUGGGGUAGUGGCUUACCAAGGCUUCGACGGGUAGCCGGCCUGAGAGGGUGACCGGCCACAUUGGGACUGAGAUACGGCCCAGACUCCUACGGGAGGCAGCAGUGGGGAAUAUUGCACAAUGGGCGGAAGCCUGAUGCAGCAACGCCGCGUGCGGGAUGACGGCCUUCGGGUUGUAAACCGCUUUCGCCUGUGACGAAGCGUGAGUGACGGUAAUGGGUAAAGAAGCACCGGCUAACUACGUG